GAGGAAGAAGAGGAGUGAGGAGGAGGAAGGCUUCGAGCUGGGCGUUGCUCUGGCAACGCCGCGGCCUUCGCCCCGUCAUGGCCCGUGAGGGCCGGGGGGCGCCUCCCCUCAGCCUCAACCCCGCCAAAACGAGGGGGGGAGGUUGCUGUUGCUUUUUAUUGAAGGCCUCAAUUAAAAUUAAUCUGGGAAGGAAGUAGCUGAAAACACUGGCUGCAUCUAUGUGUCUCUUGGAGGUCACUUGCUGAUUUAUCUUCAAUUCACAGCUCAUUAGAAGGUGUGUAACUCUUCAGAGAUGUUGUUAUUUAACAGGAAGGAGCGAUUCCCGUGGUCAUCAGAACCAAGCGCAGAAGCUGUUUCCUGAACCGGGCUUUUCUUGUAGUGACACUGGAGGAUCUGUUAAAUCCAGUGACUCAAAGAUUAUUCAUCUAUUCAAGAAUUUCGAGAGGUGAUGGGAAGAAAUGUUUCUUUGAACACCUGAGCUGUAGAGCUGCCAUGGUUUGGAUGUUGUUGAGUUUCAACAUUUGAGCAUCCAUCUCUAUCUUGUUUAAUCCUUCAAGGCAGAGAAUGGCAUAGGUUCCAUUCGCAAAUUUUCAGGAUUUUUCAUCCAGAGACUGAAUUUCAUUCCAGAAGAUUUUUGGAAAAGCAACUAAUUGGACUUAUGGAGUAGAUGGAUUUUAAAGUCCUGUGGUGCUGAAAGUUAUUAUGUAAAAUGGGUAAAUUGGAGUCUUUAAAGGAGCUGCCAACUUGCAUUUGCCUGAGUUACUUCAGCAGCGGAGAGGAGAGGAAGAAUUCCAGACACGUCAUCCUGAUUUCACAAGUCUGCAGAGAUCUCCAGAGUGGACUUACCCAUCUGUGUGAGCCCUUGGUAAUGAUACUUUCUUCCUGCUGGCACCCACCAUAGGCUGGCUCAGAGAAGCAGGGUGUUUCCUCACCAGUGAAUCCAAGCUGUGGUGUGUCUUGCCUCUCCUCUUUUCCUACCCCACGGUUCAUUUGGCACAUCCAGGAUUCCCCUGGUUUUGUCCAGCAUCCAUCACUCAGCCAGCUGCCUAAAGGUGAAGACAACCACUUUAUCUGCAAGAAAAUAUUCAUUUAUGGGACUUAUAGGUUUGAAAAAAGGAAAAUGGGCUUAAAGCCUUCCUCAGGACAGAGAUUUACUCACCAUUUUCUCCUGUGGUUCUGAAGUCUGAUGCCAAAUACAAUAUGGAGUAGUGGUCACUCACUUCAUACAAAGAGGUUUGAUUGCACUUCCAGCUGGAACUCCACUCCUGUAUUGUGAUUGCAACUUCAUGUUUUACUUGCAUUUUGCAGUCAUUCAGGGGCCAAGUUUUCAAGUUUUCCAGAUUUUGACUUGUUUUGAUUUCACUGCAAAAUCCUGCAAGAAUUUUGCCAACAGCAAGGCCAAUGUGUUUGAAAGCAGAUUGCAUUUCCAGUACCUAAAGCCUGGUCAGGUCGAUUGCUUUAUGUCUGUAAGGUCAGCACGGUUGAAGGCAUGAAGAUGAGGACAUCAAAGCCUUUGCCCACUUAUGACAAUUACUCUGGAAACAAACACAGCUCAGGAGACAAAUGUUAUAAACAACCUGUAAGUUCUGGUUCACAAAACAGAUGGGAAUCCAGAGAUACUUCUGAACUUGGAAAUGAAAUUUAUUCUCAAGGUAGUGGUUGAGCUCAUUAUCUGCUGUUCUUUCUAAAUGUAAAGUAAGGAGUGCAAUGCCCAUGUAUUCUGUCUAUAACAGCUGACAUGUUUUCUGCAUUCCUGUGUUUGCCUAAGAAGACAUGGAUAAUCAAUUUGAUGUGCAAAAUAUACUGCAUGGAUGAAUUCUGAUACAUAUCACUUGCCAUGGCUGUGCUGUUAUGAGGGGGAAAAACUUCCAGGAAGGAAACAGCAAGGAAAAUUUGCCUGAUAAUUUUCUCAUCAGUUUUUCUCCAAGGACAUAUCUGUAGGUGGAUUCUACAGACAGUGUUUGGGGUGUUUUCCCCCCCUUGAGUGUCUGGUUCUGUGUGUGUCAGCUACUUUCUCUUGCUGUAUUAGAAAUCAAAGCUACCUUAUCAUUUCAGGAUAAAUAUAUCCAUAUUUAUAUCUCUAUGUCUAUCUUCUAUAAUUCUAACUAGAAAAAACUAACCUGAAACAUUUAAUUUUAAGCCUUUGUUAUUAUUUAAAUAUAUAUUUAAAGUAAUUUUUUAAAUUCCCUACAUGCAUUACAAAUAACUUCCCAUCUGAUUGGGAAGCAGAAUAGGCAGGAACCAGCAGCAGACAGAUGUGAUUAUAAAAGAUGUUCUGUUUGUUGUAAUGAGACUUAUGGUCUUAAUAAACUCUUAGAAUGUUUUUAACACAACCAAAUUAAGUAAGUUUAAAAUCUGAUUUUCUAGUUCUAACCCUAUCACAUCACUUUUUGUCUUAUUUAUGAGAACAACCCCCCAAAUUUUCCUUAUUUUUAGAGAAUUUCUCACAAAAUAGAGUAUCUCUAGUUCCAGCAAAAUAAAAAAGGAAAUUUGUACGGAUAAAAAGCAUGAAUGACAAUCCUGAUCAUGUGGAAAAAAUCAAUCUGAGCUUAGACAUAGUUUCACAUUAGUCUCCUCCUUUCUUGGAAGUCCAUAUUUUCACCAGAAUAUCUAGCAGCAUUACGUGGCCUGUCAAAAUUUGCUCAUAAUAUUUCAUGUCCUUUUGCUGGAAAGAAACAGCUGGAUAUUUUGUGUCAUGAUGUGACCAAUCCACCUCUGUUGUUGUCAUUUUAAUUGCUGGGGCUGUAGUUUUAAAUCCUCCACAGAAGGUCUUUGUAGUGACAAGCGAACGGUUCACGCUUCGUAAGCAAACAUAAAGAAUGCUGCUGCUAA